rnacentral:lncRNA from 1 species
UUCUGACAGAGUCUCGCUCAGUUCCUGAGGCUGGAUUUGAACCUGUGAUUUUCCUGCCUCAGCCCUUCGAGUCACUGGGAUUACAGGCAUGCGCCACCAGGCCUGGCCCACCGGUUCAUUUGUUUACCCUCUUCCCCAAUUUGAGGGGGAAAACAUUAAGAAGAGAACCGGGGACAGACUUGGGACUGGGUCUGUCUUGGGGGACAAAAGCUGGAUAAGGUCUGGUUGGGACUGGGGUGGGCAUGGGGCUGGGUGUGCUGGUGUGGAGCUGUGUGUAUGGUGUCUCAUGCGCCCCUCACUGCAGCCCGGGAAGAGGAGUCUCGUCUUUAUACCACAUGCCAAGAGGAGUUUCCUCUUUAUACCACAAAUCACCAAGCUCAUCAGAGGUCCACGCAGUGAUUGAACGUGGGCCUCUAUGGCCCCCAGAUUGGCCCACCUCCCUGUGUCUCUGUGUUAGGACUCUGCUUUGAGAUUCCCCAACACUAUUUCUGACAGGAUGGUGUAUGUUUAACACAUUUAGUAAUUUACAAGUCAAUGGAAAACUGUGAACCAUGGUGGUAUUUUGUUUUAAAAAUGAUAUUUGAUAUGGAUUAUUAGAAAUUCUAGCUCAAAUCUUUAUUGAAAGUUUCUGAGGGAGGAAGGGAAAAAGGGAGGGCAAAUCAGUUAAUAAAAUAGUAUGUGAAUGAACAAAGGAACAUGCUUGUUUCAAGAAAAUUCCAUGAGGGCUUAAGUUCUGUUAUGGUCUGAAUUGUCCAUAAAAUUCUCGUGUUGAAAUCCUAACCCUGG